AGAAACGUGCAUAAACUUCCUUCACCAGGAACCUCCAUGUCAUCUUCCUCACAGCUUGAAUAAACUUUACUUUGGGGCGGGGGAACCUUCAGAAGAAUCAAUUUCAAAUGUUCACUGUACUAUAAAAGAGAGGCACAAAGUUAUCUUUUACCUAAAAAGACAAAGGAAUCAAGCAAUUUGAAGAUCCUGACCAGAGGGGCUGACAGCCAUCUUGUUGGAAGGCAGAUUGCCAGAAGGGACUUCCUGUUCAAAAACUGCAAGCCGAUGGCUGUGCUAGAGGAAAAGAUUCUUGGAUUGAACAGGAAAGUAGAGACGCUACUGAGAAUCAAAGAUGCUAAGGUGUUCCUAGACAGCCAGGUUUGGGAGACAUCAGUACCCUACGUUCAAGGAAGAAGGGAAUUGGUCACUAAAGAGUUAGAGAGAGAAGAAAUCAGAGGACCCCUCGCAGUUUGCAACCCCUCACAGAUUGUAACCAGAGGCAAGAGGUCAUGGCAGCAUUCUUCAAGGCUGCAGACAGAUGACGAUAGGCAUGUUGUGGCCACCAGAGAUAAGAAGACCAGGAGGAAUUCCACACAGCAAGAGGAUUCGAACUGAUACUAGGUCAUCAAUAUGAAAACCGUGGAAGAUAUCUCUCAAGAUCCAUUUGGUAUAAAGCAUACCAGAUGAUUACACUUGUAGAUGGUAGGUCUGCCCAACCUAUAUGAAAAGCAAGGUUGCACACAGAGUUCUCCAACUGUUCAUGGAAGACGAUCUUUGCUGUGAAUUCAUUACUGAAGAAUUGAAAGAAUAUUCUGCAAAGGACAAGCAGACAGCUGGACAGCGUGCUAUCUUCUCAUAGCCAAGACGUGAGACGUCACUCUGAGAUUGAACAGACUUCUGAAGUUGACAAGUGAAGAUCCACUGGUGAUGGUUCUUAUCAGCACUAUAACACUGCCUCGUGGGAUAUCUCACAGAUAGUUGAUAACUUCAGGGAUUUUGGAAGUGUGCUGAAGAAAAAGAAUAUUCAAGUAAUCUUCUUUGAGAUCUCUCCUGUCCCAUGACUGAAGAAAGAUAGAAGGCAGAAGGUUCCAGAAGAGAACCACUGCGUAGAUUAACAAAGAGAUAAGGGGUAACCUGAUUACAGUCUGUAUGUACCCACAUAGGGAACAAACAACAAUGGCUCUUCAAUCUAGAAGAGAAAGGUAUAACACAGUCCAAUGGCUGGAAGUUGAAGCUAGACAAAUUCAGACCGGAAAGAAAGAGUAAAUUUUUAACAGUGAAGGUCCCGAACUCUGGAGAUUUUAUGAAGAAAAUGAAAUGAUUCAACUGGCCUAUUUCAUAAAUAGGCACUGCUUUAUUUGCAUAUUUUGUGUCUCUAGUUUUAAGGAUAUUUUUUUUAAUGUUUCUACUCCUGCUCCUCAAUUGCUCUUCUACCAUAAUAGCCAAGCUAUCAUAAAAGUCCAUACAAUAUAUAUUUUAUUAGGAAGCACUUAGGGCCCUUUAAGCCUUAGGUAAAAAUAAGCAUAAAUACAAGCUGAAGUUAACACCUGGCUCUGAUUUCAAAAAAUAUAUUUUCUGCAACCUGAUCAGAGCUUUUUGCAUCUCAGUAAUCAAUUAAAAUCAGACUGGAGACAGCACUCAAGAAUAUGCAACAGGAAAGAAAAUAGCAGAGAGAGGAACAGAAUGGACUAAUAUUUUAAGACUUUUCCAGCUACAAUUUCUGUGCUCAUUUAGGAGGAGGAGAAGAUAAAAAUAUAGAAUCAUACCUUCAUA